AUUGAACGCUGGCGGCAUGCCUUACACAUGCAAGUCGAACGGCAGCACGGGUGCUUGCACCUGGUGGCGAGUGGCGAACGGGUGAGUAAUACAUCGGAACAUGUCCUGUAGUGGGGGAUAGCCCGGCGAAAGCCGGAUUAAUACCGCAUACGAUCUACGGAUGAAAGCGGGGGACCUUCGGGCCUCGCGCUAUAGGGUUGGCCGAUGGCUGAUUAGCUAGUUGGUGGGGUAAAGGCCUACCAAGGCGACGAUCAGUAGCUGGUCUGAGAGGACGACCAGCCACACUGGGACUGAGACACGGCCCAGACUCCUACGGGAGGCAGCAGUGGGGAAUUUUGGACAAUGGGCGAAAGCCUGAUCCAGCAAUGCCGCGUGUGUGAAGAAGGCCUUCGGGUUGUAAAGCACUUUUGUCCGGAAAGAAAUCCUUGGCUCUAAUACAGUCGGGGGAUGACGGUACCGGAAGAAUAAGCACCGGCUAACCACGUG
rnacentral:rRNA from 1 species